UAUAUGCAAAACACAUGCAGAAAAAGCAAAAAUUCCACCAUUGUCACCAUGAAGACCUACUCUAAAGAAAGGGGUUCCCUUUUCCCUCAGUCCACCGCAGGCGUUCCACGGAGGAUUUAGAGGUGGUGGAGGUCUCCAUAGAGGAGGAGGAGGGAGGGAGAGCAGACAGGACCCUCCUAGAAUGUGGAUGCCCCUCCCCCACCUGAUGUUGGCGAAGUGGUGGAGGUGGCAGCAGAAGAGGCAGGACCCUCCCAUCAGCCGGAUUUACCCCCCAGCUCAUGAUGAGGAGGAUGUCACCAGCCACUUCCAGGAGGUAAAUGUAAAACACUCCUGAACAAGAUGCAGCAGGAGAAGAAAAAGAAACAUGCAGGAGACCCAGGAGCAGCAGCAGAAUCUGGCACUGAAGGUGCGCUGCAACUAAAUUAGAUGCAGGAGUUG